rnacentral:rRNA from 1 species
AGCAUAUCAUUAAGCGGAGGAAAAGAAACUAACAAGGAUUCCCCUAGUAACGGCGAGUGAAGCGGGAAGAGCUCAAGCUUAAAAUCUCCAUGUGUAAACAUGGCGAAUUGUAGUCUAUAGAGGCUGUUGUCAGCAUCGCGAUCUGGGAAAAGUCCCUUGGAAAAGGGCAGCACAGAGGGUGAUACUCCCGUCUUUGCUCAGAUCGUUUGGUGUGUACGAUACGCUUUCUUUGAGUCGAGUUGUUUGGGAAUACAGCUCAAAGUAGGUGGUAAAUUCCAUCUAAAGCUAAAUAUUGGUGCGAGACCGAUAGCGAACAAGUACCGUGAGGGAAAGAUGAAAAGAACUUUGAAAAGAGAGUUAAAGAGUACCUGAAACUGUUGAAAGGGAACCGUAUCGUUUCCAGUGUUAUAUCCUGUGCAUAUUUCAUUAGCGGAGCAAUUUGCUGGUGCCCUGUGCAUGGGUGUGACGUCAGAGUCAGUUUGUAUGCUGCGGGAGAUGGUCAGUGAGGAGGUGCUUCACUUCGGUGAAAGUUAUAUCUCGCUGUCUAGUAGCCGUGGUUGAGACUGAGGUGCCUACAACAUGCCUUGGGGUUCGGGGCUGUCUUGUUUUGGAAACUGCUUGGAUAGCUUGCUAUGUCUGUGGUUUUUCAGAGCAAUUGAUGGUGUCGAUAACCCCUGCUGUUCGGGACUCUGGCGAAAUGGAGCGAUAC